CUUUUGCUGGUCUGGUGGCUAGGAUACCUGGUUUUCAUCCAGGCUAUGCAGGUUCAAUUCCUGGGCAGGGAA
rnacentral:tRNA from 1 species